AGUAAUGCUUGGGAAUCUAGCUUAUGGAGGGGGAUAACUACGGGAAACUGUAGCUAAUACCGCGUAGAAUCGAGAGAUGAAAGUGUGGGACCUUCGGGCCACAUACCAUAGGAUGAGCCCAAGUGGGAUUAGGUAGUUGGUGAGGUAAAGGCUCACCAAGCUGACGAUCUCUAGCUGGUCUGAGAGGAUGACCAGCCACACUGGGACUGAGACACGGCCCAG
rnacentral:rRNA from 1 species